rnacentral:lncRNA from 1 species
CUCUCUCUCUCUCUCUCUCUCUCUCUCUCUCUCUCUCUCUCUCUCUCUCUCUCUCUCUCUCGAAGCCGCCGCCGCCUCGGCGCUACUUCCGACUCAGCCUUGAUUGCAUCUCCGGCUCUGACGAUGCCGUCGCCUUGACGAUGACAUAUGGAUCCACCAUCGACGACUCCUCGACGACCUCCGCUUCAACCUCGACUGCAUCUCCUCAACGCGCAGCCGGAUCUACAAGGUCCAACCAACUCCGACGACGUCAUCCACCACUUGUUCGGCGCCCGCCGCCGUUGGAAGCAGAGAUUUAUGCGCCUUAGUAGAUCUCCCCAGUGUGUGUGGACCUUCCUCUACCUUUUCCGAUCCUCUGAUCAGCCCCCUCAUCACUGGCCGCACCUUCUCUGAUCAGCCUCGUCAUCUUCUUCUCCGCACCUUCUCCUAUGAGUUCGAGACGGUGACGACGAAGGUGAUUCGUCAGUGAGGUGCAGAUCUAUCGAGGAUCCACCGCCUUGAGGCGGUUGUCAUUUCUGACAAGGACACUGGCCGAUCCAAGGGCUAUGGUUUUGUGAGUAUUCCGAUUCAUUUCUAUUCUUCUUGAUCACGCAUCACUGACUGCUAAUUUAGUUGUGGAAUUUGAUGAAUCAAUGGACGUAGUAGCUUUUGUAGGCAGUGGUAAUAGUUUUUGUAGAUGGUGGUAGUAGCUUUUGUGGCUGGUGGUAGUAUUUUUUGUGUUCGUCGAAAACCUCACAGUAGUAGCUUUUGUAGGCUGUGGUAGUAGCUUUUGUAGGCGGUGGUAGUAGCUUUGUAGGCGGUGGUAGUAGCUUUUGGGCUGGUGGUAGUAGCUUUUGUGACGGCGGUCACAGUAGUAGCUUUUGUAGCGGUGGUAGUAGUUUUUGUAGCUGGUGGUAGUAGCUUUUGUCGCUGGUGGUAGUAGUUUUGUGUUCGUCGAAAACCUCACAGUAGUAGCUUUUGUAGGCGGUGGUAGUAGCUUUUGUAGCUUGUGGUAGUAGUUUUUGUGGCUGGUGGUAGUAGUUUUUGUUUUUAUCAGAAACCUCACAGUAGUAGCUUUUGUAGGCGGUGGUAGUAGCUUUUAUAGCUAGUGGUAGUAGCUUUUUUAGCUUAUAGUAGUAAUUUUUGUCAUCGUCGGAGGUUGGCCGGAAACCUCGCCGGAGGUUGGUCGGAAAUCUCGCCGGAGGUCGGCCGGAAACUUUGUAGUAGCUUUAUAGCGGUGGUAGUAGUUUUUUAGCUGGUAGUAGUAAUUUUUAUCAUCGUCGGAGGUCGGCCGGAAACCUCGCCGGAGAUCAGUCGGAAAUCUCGCCGGAGGUCAGUCGGAAAUCUCGCCGGAGGUCGGCCGGAAACUUCGCCGGAAACCUCGCCGGAGGUCCGCCGGAGACUGUUCCGAAAUGAGAGUGGUUGUUGACUUUUUAUACUAGUGGCAUUCUUGUAAAUAUAAAGGAGAAAAUCUAAUUUUUUUUGUUGGAUGGCAGUCUGUAAUUAUGUUGAACUUUAAUACUUAAUACAAAACUUUAUUUAGACUUGGGUGGACUUAUGUGGGUAAAAAUGUUGGGAUGGAUCUAUGUGGGAAAAAAUGUCUCAAAAUGGACUUAUAUGUAAUUGGCCUAUUUUUCUUUCACUUAAUUUCAAGUUUCACCAAUUGUGAAGUGAUAGGUAUAAUAACCGUAUAGGUGGUCAAAAUUGAUACAAAUACAGACUCCUCACUGUUGUAAGUAGUUCAUGACUACUCAGUGACACUAGCUAGUACUGAUAAGUGGUGAACUAAUAUCUAGAGGCUGGAGGAUCGGAUCAAGGAGUAGUAUUCUUAUAUAUUAAGAAGUUAUGAGUACAUUCUUUCUUCUAAAUAAAAUUUGGUGCUACUUUGGUUGAAUAUGCACGUGUCUAAAUUUUUUUGUUU